GCAGAAACUCUGUGUCAUCCUCUGUGCCAACUUCAAUAUGCUUUUCCUCCCAGCCAGUGUGGCAACGCCUACAAUUUUGAUAAAAAGGAUGGAAAUACGAGCAUCAAUCAACAAAUUAUUGUUGUGGCGCUUCAAAAAAUGGCAAUAUGCAUGCGAUGGAAGAUUGUAUACCUUGCAAUGGCCAUUUGAUUUGUCCUCGAUGAUGCAACCGGAUGGGCGUUUUCUGCAUUUCACAAGGGAUGCAUCGAUGUUAUCCUCCACUUUG